UGUAGGACACUCUAUACGGAGUUACAAAGGACGACAUUAGACGAAUCAUCUGGAAAGAUGAAUCAAAGAAGGUAAUAAUCCUGUAGUCGAAAAUGUUGUCUCUCUUGAGUGGAUCCUGAGUACGACGGAGCACGUGAAAUUCCGUCGGAAUCUGGGAGGACCAUCUCCUAAGGCUAAAUACUCUCUAGUGACCGAUAGUGAACCAGUACCGUGAGGGAAAGGUGAAAAGCACCCCGGAAGGGGAGUGAAAUAGAACCUGAAACCGUGUGCUUACAAGUAGUCAGAGCCCGUUAAUGGGUGAUGGCGUGCCUUUUGUAGAAUGAACCGGCGAGUUACGAUUUGAUGCAAGGUUAAGCAGUAAAUGUGGAGCCGUAGCGAAAGCGAGUCUGAAUAGGGCGUUUAGUA
rnacentral:rRNA from 1 species